ACUCCUUCGGGGUUCGGUCCCCCUCCCAUUAGGGAGGGGUCCCUCACUCCUUCUUUAAAAAGGGGUUCGGUCCCCCCCGCGGGGC
rnacentral:tRNA from 1 species